ACCUGCCCAGCARCACGACCUGUGAACUCGUUUAACAUAUGGACGAGGGCGUGCGGCCAAUCCUCAUCGGGUUGGAAACACGCCRUUGUCAUUCGAGGGGUGCCCAUUGCCCACUUGGCCUUUGGCUCCUCGCAACACAACAAACCAAUCCCGGCGCGGGUUGCGCCAAGGAACCAUCGUAAACGUAAGGAACUCCUCUCCAUCCCGAACAUGGCGUAUGCGACGAGGCCUCGUUCCUUUCAGUUGCAAACAAAACGACUCUCGGCAACGGAUAUCUCGGCUCUUGCAUCGAUGAAGAACGUAGCGAAAUGCGAUACGUGGUGUGAAUUGCAGAAUCCCGUGAACCAUCGAGUUUUUGAACGCAAGUUGCGCCCAAAGCCUUUUCGGUUGAGGGCACGUCUGCCUGGGUGUCACGCA
rnacentral:rRNA from 1 species